AACGAACGCUGGCGGCAUGCCUAACACAUGCAAGUCGAACGAAGCCUUCGGGCUUAGUGGCGCACGGGUGCGUAACGCGUGGGAAUCUGCCCUUGGGUUCGGAAUAACAGUUAGAAAUGACUGCUAAUACCGAAUGAUGUCUUCGGACCAAAGAUUUAUCGCCCAAGGAUGAGCCCGCGUCGGAUUAGCUAGUUGGUGAGGUAAAGGCUCACCAAGGCGACGAUCCGUAGCUGGUCUGAGAGGAUGAUCAGCCACACUGGGACUGAGACACGGCCCCAGACUCCUACGGGAGGCAGGCAGUGGGGAAUAUUGGACAAUGGGCGAAAGCCUGAUCCAGCAAUGCCGCGUGAGUGAU
rnacentral:rRNA from 1 species